GACGAACGCUGGCGGCGGGCUUAACACAUGCAAGUCGAACGGCAAGGCAGUGCUUUUGUGGGGUGCUCGGGGGGCGGACGGGUGCGUAACACGUGUGUAACCUGCCCUAGACUUUGGGAUAACUUCACGAAACUGGGCCUAAUACCGGAUAGGAUCUCCUGCUGCAGGGAGGGGGUGGGAAAGUUUCGGCGGGUGGGGAUGGACGCGCGGCUUAUCAGCUUGUUGGUGGGGUAGUGGCUGACCAAGGCGUUGACGGGUAGCCGGCCUGAGAGGGUGGCCGGCCACCUUGCGCCUGCGAUACGGCGCAGACUCCUACGGGAGGCAACGGUGGGGAGUAUUGCACAAUGGGCGGAAGCCUGUUGCGGCAGCGCCGCGUGCGGGAUGACGGCCUGCGGGUUGUGAACCGCUUCCGGCUGUGACGAAGCGUUAGUGACGGUAAUCGGUGAAGAAGCACCGGCUAACUACGUG
rnacentral:rRNA from 1 species